GCUGUGACACGAAACCACCAGUCGUUGUGGAAAUUGCUCCAAAGACUGAUGAGUUUGAUUUCGCUGUGGGAUUGCCGGACAUAGAGAUACCUCAAAAAGAGGUGUUCAACUUUUCGUUUACUGGCAAAUACAAUAAAGAGCUGCCAAUUUGUAAUCGAAAGCUGCAUGAUCUUUAAAAUUUGUGCAAAAAGAGUGUAAUUCCUCGUGGCUCGCAGUCAUUUUUUUUAAUUUACGAGGUGGAAACAAGCGAAAUUGUUUAGAUGAGCCAGAUGUAGCAGAGGAAGAGAAUGAAGACGAAUGAAUUUCUAGUUAUUUUUGAUUUACGCAAUGUAUACCUUCAUGUGUCAUAAUUUUUGGUUUAUAAUAACCCAAAUUGGAAAGUAAUGAAUAAAUGCCACUGAAUUAACAAAA